ensembl:snoRNA SNORD33 Small nucleolar RNA Z195/SNORD33/SNORD32 family
GUUGUCAGUGAUGUUUUACCACUGUUGUUCGAGUUUAAUUGACCAUGAGACCACCUUACAUGCACUACCAUCUGAGACAUC